ACAGUUGGAAACGACUGCUAAUACCGCAUAUGAGCUUAGUUGAAAUACUAAUCUUGAAAACUCCGGUGGCUAAGGAUGAGCCUGUGCCUGAUUAGCUAGUUGGUGGUGUAAUGGACUACCAAGGCGACGAUCAGUAGCUGGUUUGAGAGGAUGAUCAGCCACAAUGGGACUGAGACACGGCCCAUACUCCUACGGGAGGCAGCAGUAGGGAAUUUUGCGCAAUGGGCGAAAGCCUGACGCAGCAACACCGCGUGAAUGUUAAGCCCUUCGGGGUGUAAAGUUCUGUCAGUAGGGACGAAAUUUGACGGUACCUACAGAGGAAGCACCGGCUAACUCCGUGCCAGCAGCCGCGGUAAUACGGGGGGUGCAAGCGUUGUCCGGAAUCAUUGGGCGUAAAGCGUUCGUAGGCGGUAUAUCAAGUCUGGUGUUAAAGCCCGGGGCUCAACUCCGGUUCGGCACUGGAUACUGGUAAACUAGAAUGCGGUAGAGGUAAAGGGAAUUCCUGGUGUAGCGGUGAAAUGCGUAGAUAUCAGGAGGAACACCGGUGGCGAAAGCGCUUUACUGGGCCGUUAUUGACGCUGAGGAACGAAAGCCGGGGGAGCAAAUGGGAUUAGAUACCCCAGUAGUCCCGGCCGUAAACGAUGGAUACUAGGUGUUGCGGGUAUCGACCCCUGCAGUGCCGUAGCUAACGCGAUAAGUAUCCCGCCUGGGGAGUACGCACGCAAGUGUGAAACUUAAAGGAAUUGACGGGGACCCGCACAAGCGGUGGAACAUGUGGUUUAAUUCGAAGCAACGCGAAGAACCUUACCAGGGCUUGACAU
rnacentral:rRNA from 1 species